UACGUAGGGUGCGAGCGUUAAUCGGAAUUACUGGGCGUAAAGCGUGCGCAGGCGGUUCGUUGUGUCGGCGGUGAAAGCCCCGGGCUCAACCUGGGAAUGGCCGUUGAAACUGGCGAACUGGAGUGUGGCAGAGGGGGGUGGAAUUCCGCGUGUAGCAGUGAAAUGCGUAGAGAUGCGGAGGAACACCGGUGGCGAAGGCGGGUCUCUGGGCCGGAACUGACGCUGAGGAGCGAAAGCGUGGGGAGCGAACAGG
rnacentral:rRNA from 1 species